AGAUAGAGUGAGAGAGGUCAAAGUAUGAACGCUUACAUGUUUACUUUUACAAUGAUCGAUGAGGUACACAGCAGUGUUCUGUGGCUCUUUGUUGCUCAUGGUCUGAUAAAACAGCUCUAGCUAUUUCACCUUUCACCGCCGAUCCGGAAGUGUGGUCGAUUGAGAGACAUCCAAUGCAACAAAAAAAUAUCUCUAGUUCAAACUGACAGAUUUAUAUGGCGAUUUUUUUAUUAUUCUAAUUCAACUUCCGCGGUCCGCGGGCAUCGACUCUAGGGUUUAAACUGGUUGUGGAAUCUCUGCCCUCCUCUCCUGAUUGUGUAAAUUGAUUACUAAGGGGCGGAGAAGGUUCAUUUCCUUUCCUUGCAGUGACUGAAGAGCCAGGGUGGAAGAGGACAGAGUUUUCGUUUCCUGGGGUUUGGAAGGUGUGGUGUGCGUGAUGACUUCUCAGCCUAGCGCGGAGGAGACUCUGUCGACACGGCAUGGAUUCAGGUGUGUUCCUGAGAAUGGAGUUAAGGUGGAGGAGGUUCUGCUCGCGGUCGGUGAGCAGAACGAUCCUCUUGACCCUGACCAAUCCGGCUUCAAGACUGGUCAAUCAACCGAGACUGCUCUUCUCUGUGUCACGAAGGCCCUCCGAACUGCCAAAGCUGACUCAUCCUCCUAGAUCUAUCCGAUCUGCCUUGUACACCGUGAACCAUCAGACUCUCCUCUCCACCCUCUCAGGGAUGGGUAUCUCAGCCUCUGCACACUCUUGGAUUGCAUCCUACCUGCCAGGCCGCUCCUACCACGUACUCUCACUGAUUGGUUCUAGGCGCCUCUCUCUCUUCUCUCUUCUCUCUAUACACCAAGUCACUCGGCUCUAUCUUAUCCUCACGUGGUCUCACCUAUCAUUGCUAUGUGGAUGACACUCGACUACUUUCCAAAUCCAAAUCAAAUCAAAUGUAUUUGUCACAUACACAUGGUUAGC